UGGGGAAUAUUGCACAAUGGGGGAAACCCUGAUGCAGCGACGCCGCGUGAACGAAGAAGGUAUUCGUAUCGUAAAGUUCUGUCCUAUGGGAAGAUAAUGACAGUACCAUAGAAGAAAGCUCCGGCUAAAUACGUGCCAGCAGCCGCGGUAAUACGUAUGGAGCGAGCGUUGUCCGGAAUUAUUGGGCGUAAAGGGUACGCAGGCGGUUUAAUAAGUCGAAUGUUAAAGAUCGGGGCUCAACCCCGCAAAGCAUUGGAAACUGAUAAACUUGAGUAGUGGAGAGGAAAGUGGAAUUCCUAGUGGAGUGGUGAAAUACGUAGAUAUUAGGAGGAAUACCAGUAGCGAAGGCGACUUUCUGGACACAAACUGACGCUGAGGUACGAAAGCGUGGGGAGCAAACAGG
rnacentral:rRNA from 1 species